UAGACCAUGUGCUGGCCUCGAAUAGAUACAUCAGGGAAGAAUGAACAUUGUGCUAAGAUGAGACUAGAUGCCAAGCACGUAGUGAGAACUGCUAACUUGGCACACCUUAGCUAAGAAUGCUUAUAGCGUGACAACCAAUCAGCAGUUAACAUGUAUGUGUGAAUAUAGCUACUUAACCAAUGAGCUUUAAGCAUUAGUGGCAUGAGACAGUGUAUAGAGAAAGAUAAAUAAGCCAAAGUUACUGAAUAAAGUGAGAAUGGCAUGUGGCCACAUUGGUGUGAGUGUUGUUACUUGGCCAGCUCUCCGAUUGGGACCCUCUUCACUUUGGCGUCCGAACAUGGACUCUCUUUGCUUAAAUGUGGAAGACUCCAAUCACCAGAUUCCCAUGUCUCGAGCAAGAUUCUAAUUCAGCUUCUGACUUCUCAAGCAAGAAUCAGAUUUGGGAGCCGGAGAGACAGGAAGCAGGAGUGGCCUGUUGGGCAAAUGCAGCCACAGUCCGGAGCUUGAACGGCCAUCGAACCCCUGCCAAGGUAAGGGACCUCUCUGGGUUCCUAGCAGAUUUGUCCACCCUGCAUAUCAACCCCAGAAGAAUGAAGAGAAUGUAGAAGACAGCGCUACAUCCAUCCAGUCUUUUACAAACUCUGUGCAGAAUUAGGACCAAUCCCAUCAUCAGCAGAAGUGCUAACAACAGUACUAACAAAUCAACCAUUUGGAUCAUGAGCUUUUAACACUGCGUCAAAAAAAACUAUGUAAGGCAAAAAGUACUGCUUGUGCAAAUUGUAAAGAGUUAACAGAAAUAGUAUUAAGUUGCAGUAACUGUAAACAAAAAUUUGUUAUUCAUUGUAGCCGCUUGCAAAAUAACCAUGCUUUAUGCUUAAAAUGCCAAAACAUGUUUGCUAAUAUGACUUUUGAAAAUACUUGCAGAGAAUUUUUAAACCUUCAGCCAGACCAGUUUUUCCCAGAAAUAUGGUUACCAGAGAGUAUUGGUAGCCAUACAGAGAAGAAGCUGUUUGUUGGUAGACCUUAAUGAAAGCAUUAACUGUUGUUUCAGCUACAAAGAAAACACAAGCACUUGGCUUGUGGUGUUCAUUUUGUCAAUUGGGAACAAAAAUUGCAAAAUAAUGAAAUUGUUUUGUUUAAUUAUAAGGCUGAUAAGAAUAAUCAGCAUACCCUCAUCAGAUGCAAAAUGGGCUCCUGCCCAACCUCAAGCAAACAAGUGGGUGACCUGGGCCAACAAAACAGGACAAGAUUCAUUUUGCUUGUCAUUAGCUACUCCCUCUAACCCAUUUUGUACCUGCUUGAUUGGAGUCCCUUUAAACAAUAUGAGAAAAUUUGAAUCUUGGACAAAAAGCAAAAUAUACCCUACACAGACCAAACAAUAACUAACCAUCAAUAGCACCAUCAAUAGCAAAUCUGUGUAGGUAAAUUGGUGUGAACAUCUUGGUGUUCCAAAAAACCCCUUAGGAGUUCAAGCGUUCAAAAUUGCUCAGGGACUGAACGUUACUGGCAUAGAACCCCAAGAGCUUGACAUCUUAGGAUCCAUGCCAGGAAAUUACUGUUUAAUUUUUGGAUUUUACAAAGAAGACAUUGACUCAGGUAAUUUCAAAAUUCACAAACCAAAGAAUGACACUACUUGGAUUGCCCCUGAGUCCCCCUGGUAUUACAACACCACCGGUUACUGCAGCAAUUGGAUUUGGCCUAUUCCAUGGUAUGGUAAAGCAGCGGAGAAAGCAAAAAUGUUGCUUCCAGGAAUAUUCCUCAUUUGUGGAGAUCGUGCUUGGCCUGCCAUACCUGCAAAAGCACAAUGAGGACCCUGCUACUUUGGUAAGCUAACAUUGUUUGCCCCUACUACCCAUCAAAUGCUCAACAAAAGUCACAGAUUUAAAUGCAUUAGACACAGUGUAGACCAGUUAGGACCUGAAUGCAAAGAUAAUGUUCAGUUGUAGGGGCGACCAUCUGUCAUUUUAGCCUCACUUUUUACACCACAAGUUGCUUCUGCCAAAGCCCUUACUCAGUUAAAAUGAUUGGCCUGUUGGACAGGGAAACAAAUUAACAUUACCUCCAGAGUGUUAACCGAGCUUACCACUGAUGUUGAAAGUGUACGACAUGCUGUAUUACAGAAUCAAGCAGCCAUUGAAUUUUUGUUACUAUCACAAGCACGUGGCUGCAAAGAUUUUGAAGGAAUGUGCUAUAUGAAUCUUUCUGAUCAUUCUGAAUCCAUUCACAAAAACCUUCCCAGCUGAAAAAUAAUAUAAAAAAACUCACUAUUGUUGAAAAUUCUUUUGACAAGUGGUUCAAAGAAAGGGGAAUCACUGGCUGGCUGAAGACUUUAUUGAUAGAAGGAAUCCACUUUCUAGUUAUCAUUUUUGCUGUGCUUAUUAUCCUUUGUUGCAUUCUUUCUUGUAUCAAAAAGAGUUUAGAAUCAAUUGUUAAGCGAGCCUAGGUUGUCCAAAAAAGAAAACAGGGGAUGUGUAGAAGGAUUCUUAGCUGAACAAGGCCAUGAUAUUCUCUUAUGGGAAUUGGACAAACCUGGCCUGCAGAUUACAGAGAUACUUUGAAGACCAUGUAUUGUCCUCGGAACAAGAUAGACCAUGUGCUGGCCUCGAAUAGAUACAUCAGGGAAGAAUGAACAUUGUGCUAAGAUGAGACUAGAUGCCAAGCACGUAGUGAGAACUGCUAACUUGGCACACCUUAGCUAAGAAUGCUUAUAGCGUGACAACCAAUCAGCAGUUAACAUGUAUGUGUGAAUAUAGCUACUUAACCAAUGAGCUUUAAGCAUUAGUGGCGUGAGACAGUGUAUAGAGAAAGAUAAAUAAGCCAAAGUUACUGAAUAAAGUGAGAAUGGCAUGUGGCCACAUUGGUGUGAGUGUCGUUACUUGGCUGGUUCUCCAAUCGGGACCCUCUUCAGUAAACCAAACCUACUUACAUAAAAAGCACACCCACAGUGAGCUUAUUUUAAAGAAUACCCAUAGACGUUAAAGCCUAUGGCUAUUUUUCUUUUUGCUUAUUUUUUGUAUACAAAACACAAGUAAAAUAAAUACUAAUGAAACAAACAAUAAAAAAUGCAGUCAAGUAUGCAGAGAAAUACAAGUAUGUUGAUAUAAACAUUCUGCAUCGUUUUCCAUAGAAAAAAAUAGGGGAAGCAAUUUGCAAAAGAAUGAGAUACUCUUGGUUAGUCGUGUCUUUGAUUUCUGUUAGAAUUACCUAUCUCUUACUAGAUAUUGCUGCAGUGACACAAAGAGAUCUACUACAAAUACAUUCAGUUGUUCACAGGUAGCUGCUGUGGUUGACAGUCUUUGACUUAAAACUGAUGUGAAACAGCAUAUUCUAUAUAUCCUUUUUAAAGGAAACCACACAUCAGUUAAUAAUAUACCCACCUUGGCAUCUGUAUUUCAUAAUCUGGGUAAGUGUGUUCCAAGGCUGAGUGUUUCACUCAUCCAAACCUAUUCAGAAAGUGAUUUAUCGCAAGUUACCCCUAUGAGAAAUUUAACUCUAAAACAUAUAGAUCAGAAGUCUAAAGGUAAAUUACAAAAAAAAA